GGACAGAAACUUGACAUUGAAGUGAUAAAAAACUAAAGAAAAACACUGGAAAAACUCACUUGAAGUUUAUGUUAUGACUUCCUGUGUUAUUUCAUGUUUCAUGUUGACAGUUGACAAUGAAAAAUGACAGUGUGGAUAAGAAAGGAGAGAACGUCGUCCCUUUCGGUGAGUGGUCUGCGGCCUGAGGCUCUCCCUGCUAACCUGCUAUUCAUCGCCCUGGUCAAGGUUUUUUUGGUGAGUUGGAGACCUCUUAAGCUGAGCCAAGACGUUGGAGGGAGAUCUUGGAGCCCACAUUGGGAGAUUCAGAGACUUGAGAGGAUUUCAGAGAUUACAGAGAGAGAUGUUUCCAGUACUGGAUGCUUUCUUCUUGGAAUUUAUGCUGUGUGAUGUUCGUGUCAAAGCCUGGCGUGGGGACUGUGGAGCAUGCUCAGAAUGCCGAGGCCAGUUCUGGUCCAGUUGAGGCGUAUGCAAGAGAGGGUAGCCGGAGAACCUGGAGAGAACCCACGCUGACAUGGGAGAACAUGCAAACUCAAGGUCCGAACCUCGCCCCAACCUGGAUUCAGAUCGCGGACCCUUUUGCUAUGAAGCAUCAGUGCUAACCACCACACCACCUCGGCGCCCAAAAAAGGAUCUCAUAUCGGAUUGGCUGCACCCACAUCGUAUGGGAUUCACCUCACCUGCCACCAAGUCUCUGUAAGCCUGCCAGUUCCAAGAUGGCUCUCUCUCUCUCUCUCUUGUGGAAGGCUCGUGCCUCUCAGGCACCCAACAUGAUUUUAUUUGAUUUGUUUGUUCAGCCCUUUGUUACAUUAUGAUUUAAGUUGGUAUCACACACUUCAUGCAUUCAACACACACAC